GACGUAGGGGGCGAGCGUUGUCCGGAAUCACUGGGCGUAAAGAGCUCGUAGGCGGGGUCGUUAGUCUUGGAGUAAAUCCAACUGCUUAACGGUUGGUCUUUCCGAGAUACGGCGACUCUUGAGGACAGGAGAGGAAAGCGGAAUUCCGAGUGUAGCGGUGAAAUGCGUAGAGAUUCGGAGGAACACCAGUGGCGAAGGCGGCUUUCUGGCCUGAUUCUGACGCUGAGGAGCGAAAGCCAGGGGAGCGAACGGG
rnacentral:rRNA from 1 species